rnacentral:rRNA from 1 species
GAUCCUGGCUCAGAUUGAACGCUGGCGGCAGGCUUAACACAUGCAAGUCGAACGGUAGCAGGAGAAAGCUUGCUUUCUUGCUGACGAGUGGCGGACGGGUGAGUAAUGCUUGGGAAUCUGGCUUAUGGAGGGGGAUAACUACGGGAAACUGUAGCUAAUACCGCGUAAUAUCGAAAGAUUAAAGUGUGGGACCUUCGGGCCACAUGCCAUAAGAUGAGCCCAAAGUGGGAUUAGGUAGUUGGUAGGGG